rnacentral:rRNA from 1 species
GAUGAACGCUGGCGGCGUGCCUAAUACAUGCAAGUCGAGCGCCCCCUCGUGGGGAGCGGCGGACGGCUGAGUAACACGUAGGAACGUACCCCAAACUGAGGGAUAAGCACCAGAAAUGGUGUCUAAUACCGCAUGUGGUCUUCGGAUUAAAGCUUCGGCGGUUUGGGAACGGCCUGCGCAUGAUUAGCUUGUUGGUGAGGUAAUGGCUCACCAAGGCGACGAUCAUUAGCUGGUCUGAGAGGAUGAUCAGCCAGACUGGGACUGAGAACG